GAGGAAGGCUUUUUCCUGUACAAUUUAUCCUAUACCUGGUACGGAUUUAUCGGAUUCUCUCUGACCCUAAUCAUUGGUACAGUCGUCAGCUUGUGCACGGGCGGUGAUCGCGGCGAGCCUGUGGAAUCGCGCCUCAUCUUCCCUAUCUGUAGGAAGAUAUGCGGUCUGAAAUCCAAGCGUAUUUAUGAAGAAGCCGAACAGUAAGAAAAAGACGUGAACUUAAUUACACCUGAAGCCAAGAGACCCACCAUCUUCUGCCAGCUUAAUGAUGACGACGUUGCAUAUCCAUUACAGAACAAAGAAUUUGGCAUAAAUCUGUGAAGUCACAUUCAUAGACACGGUGUUUUCUUUUUUUUUAAAUGUUUUAUCUAGUUCAAGUCAAUUGUUUUCUAUGUAUACAUUAUAUUACAUAAUGUCCAAUCCUCAAUCAUGAUACAAGUUUUCAUUUUUUUUCUCUUGGAACAUUCGCGCGUCAAUAAUAUGAACAUUUAUCCUGCACAAUAACUUGUUCCGUCCUGUAAUUUGUCACAAGCACAUGAAUGGAAUUUUUAAAGUUUCUUCAUGCCAAAUUUUAUUUUUGAGCUCACCAAGUUGUAUCUUUCCAUAUCUAUACGUGUAAUGUGUAAUGUUAAUUAAACGUGCUUUCAUUUAGUCACUCCUUCUUCUUAUUUAGGUUUUCACAUUGAAGCAUUUCUACACUUAUGGUUAGGUAGUCCACUUAAAUUUACCAUACGUGCAGGAUGUAUAGUUUUGAUCCAUGAAUUUUUACAAUCACCGUAAGCUAAUAGAAAUACACACAAUAGUAUUUAAAACAACUUUUCAGUUACACUAAUGUGG